rnacentral:rRNA from 1 species
UACAGAGGGUGCGAGCGUUAAUCGGAAUUACUGGGCGUAAAGCGUGCGUAGACGGUAGCGUAAGUCAGAUGUGAAAGCCCCGGGCUCAACCUGGGAACUGCAUUUGAGACUGCUCUGCUCGGGUGCGGAAGAGGGAAGCGGAAUUUCCGGUGUAGCGGUGAAAUGCGCAGAUAUCGGGAAGAACACCCGUGGCUAAGGCGGCUCUCUAGUACGGUACUGACGCUGAGACGCGAAAGCGUGGGGAGCGAACAGG